rnacentral:rRNA from 1 species
AGAGUUUGAUCAUGGCUCAGAUUGAACGCUGGCGGCAUGCCUUACACAUGCAAGUCGAACGGCAGCACGGGGGCAACCCUGGUGGCGAGUGGCGAACGGGUGAGUAAUACAUCGGAACGUGUCUUGGAGUGGGGGAUAGCCCGGCGAAAGCCGGAUUAAUACCGCAUACGAUCUCUGGAUGAAAGCGGGGGACCGAAAGGCCUCGCGCUCAAGGGGCGGCCGAUGGCAGAUUAGCUAGUUGGUGGGGUAAAGGCCUACCAAGGCGACGAUCUGUAGCUGGUCUGAGAGGACGACCAGCCACACUGGGACUGAGACACGGCCCAGACUCCUACGGGAGGCAGCAGUGGGGAAUUUUGGACAAUGGGGGCAACCCUGAUCCAGCAAUGCCGCGUGUGUGAAGAAGGCCUUCGGGUUGUAAAGCACUUUUGUCCGGAAAGAAAACCACUUCUCUAAUACAGAGGUGGGAUGACGGUACCGGAAGAAUAAGCACCGGCUAACUACGUGCCAGCAGCCGCGGUA